CAAGCACGAAGGAGAGAGUAUGAGAGCUACAACCAUCGGGAAAUACGUGAAAUCGCCGAAACUGUUUUUCUGACUUGAACUAUGCCCAAGCGAAAGGCUGCGUCGAAAUUGUCCAGGUUAGUGGACGAUGACUUGGAGGACGACCUAUUGAUGAACGGCGGCGGAGAAUAUACUCGCGAUGAAGGCCCGGAUACCGGCGCACCUCCCGCGAAAAAAGCGAAGGGAAGACCGAAAAUCACUGAAGCUAAGGCUAUAGCUGCUGCGAAACCCAAUACGCGUAAAGCUCGCUCGACUGUUGUUGUGGGGCCAAAAAGAGGUCGGCCUGCGAGAGGCUCGACUAUCCGCAGACGCUCAAGGACCCCCGAAGACACCGAGGAGGCCCACGAGACCCCUGAUGCUAGUUUUUCCAAAGAAAGCGACCAUGGAAAAUGUAUAGACGAUGAGCCACACCCAGAGCCAAAGCAGCAAUCGGACGAUGAGCUUGAUUCCCCUGGAACAACAGCACAUGGUCGCACUCGGGAAGGUGACCGGACGAAAAGUGGACCUAAAAAGGUCAAAAGGCCAGGAAAGCGAGUGACCAUAGAUGAUGGAUUCGAGUAUACCCCGAUGGGGUCACGUCAUCCCAAGUCAACCCAACCACUUGCGAAAGAGAAUCCUGCAACGAAAUCCAUGACGCGUAGCAUACAGCCUGGGGCUGAAUCCAAGCAUGAUGGGCGACAACAGCAGCAAGUGGAGGUGGAGGUGGAGAAUGA
rnacentral:sRNA from 1 species